AUAACCAAGUGGUAAGGCAGAGGUCUGCAACACCUUCAUCACCAGUUCAAAUCUGGUU
rnacentral:tRNA from 1 species